rnacentral:lncRNA from 1 species
UUGCUGAUGGUUGUAAUGUUCGGGAUAAGAACUUUCUGAUCUGGCAGGUGGAGGAUGGUAAUCUUGGGAUGACGGUGGAGGAUGAUAAUCUUGGGAAGGUGGUGGAGGAUGAUAGUCCUGGGAAGGGGGAGGAGAAUGAUAAUCCUGGGAAGGUGGAGGAGAAUGAAAGUCUUGGGAAGGUGGAGGAGGAUGAUAGUCUUGGGAAGGUGGAGGAGGAUGAUAGUCUUGGGAAGGUGGAGGAGGAGGAGGAUAGUCUUGGGAAGGAUAAACUCCAGGUGUAUAAGAGUGAGAUGAUGGAGAAACAACAGAAGAAUGCUUGUUGUUAUCUACUCUGUCAUGAAAUUGCAUAGAUGGUGGAAUAUUUGCAGAAUGCUGUUCAUUAACAG